rnacentral:rRNA from 1 species
UACGUAGGGUGCGAGCGUUAAUCGGAAUUACUGGGCGUAAAGCGUGCGCAGGCGGUUAUUUAAGUCAGGUGUGAAAGCCCUGGGCUUAACCUAGGAAUUGCGCUUGAGACUGGAUAGCUUGGAGUGCGGCAGAGGGAGGUGGAAUUCCACGUGUAGCAGUGAAAUGCGUAGAGAUGUGGAGGAACACCGAUGGCGAAGGCGGCCUGCUGGGCAGUUGCUGACACUGAGGCGCGACAGCGUGGGGAGCAAACAGG